rnacentral:rRNA from 1 species
AACGAACGCUGGCGGCAGGCUUAACACAUGCAAGUCGAACGAUAUAGUGGCAGACGGGUGAGUAACGCGUGGAAACGUGCCUUUCACUACGGAAUAGCUUUUGGAAACGAAAGGUAAUACCGUAUACGCCCUCCGGGGGAAAGAUUUAUCGGUGAAAGAUCGGUCCGCGUUAGAUUAGCUAGUUGGUGAGGUAACGGCUCACCAAGGCUACGAUCUAUAGCUGGUCUGAGAGGAUGAUCAGCCACACUGGGACUGAGACACGGCCCAGACUCCUACGGGAGGCAGCAGUGGGGAAUAUUGCACAAUGGGCGCAAGCCUGAUGCAGCCAUGCCGCGUGAAUGAUGAAGGCCUUAGGGUUGUAAAAUUCUUUCGCCAAGGAUGAUAAUGACAGUACUUGGUAAAGAAGCCCCGGCUAACUUCGUGCCAGCAGCCGCGGUAAUACGAAGGGGGCUAGCGUUGUUCGGAAUUACUGGGCGUAAAGCGCACGUAGGCGGACUUUUAAGUCAGAUGUGAAAUCCCGAGGCUCAACCUCGGAACUGCAUUUGAAACUGGGAGUCUAGAGAUCAGGAGAGGUUAGCGGAAUACCGAGUGUAGAGGUGAAAUUCGUAGAUAUUCGGUGGAACACCAGUGGCGAAGGCGGCUAACUGGACUGAUACUGACGCUGAGGUGCGAAAGUGUGGGGAGCAAACAGGAUUAGAUACCCUGGUAGUCCACACCGUAAACGAUGAGUGCUAGUUGUCUGCAGGCAUGCCUGUAGGUGACGCAGCUAACGCAUUAAGCACUCCGCCUGGGGAGUACGGCCGCAAGGUUAAAACUCAAAGAAAUUGACGGGGGCCCGCACAAGCGGUGGAGCAUGUGGUUUAAUUCGAAGCAACGCGCAGAACCUUACCUACGCUUGACAUGCCUGGACGACUCCGAGAGAUCGGUUUCUCCCUUCGGGGCCAGUGCACAGGUGCUGCAUGGCUGUCGUCAGCUCGUGUCGUGAGAUGUUGGGUUAGGUCCCGCAACGAGCGCAACCCUCAUCCUUAGUUGCCAUCACGUUUGGGUGGGCACUCUAGGGAAACUGCCGGUGCUAAGCCGGAGGAAGGCGGGGAUGACGUCAAGUCCUCAUGGCCCUUACGCGUAGGGCUACACACGUGCUACAAUGGCAGUGACAAUGGGAUAAUCCCCAAAAGCUGUCUCAGUUCGGAUUGUCGGCUGCAACUCGCCGGCAUGAAGUUGGAAUCGCUAGUAAUCGUGGAUCAGCAUGCCACUGUGAAUACGUUCCCGGGCCUUGUACACACCGCCCGUCACACCAUGGGAGUUGGAUCUACCCGAAGAUUGUGAGCUAACUUCGGAGGCAGCAAGCCACGGUAGGUUCAGCGACUGGGGUG